UCUCUCUCUCUCCCUCCGCCCCCCCUCCCCCCCUCUCUCUCUCUCUCUCUCGAUAGCCCUUUUGUUUCACGGAAAGGUAAUCUUCUGAGAUCCCUUAUGUGCACACGCUUUUGGUUUCCUCUUCCAUUGAUUCAGCCUGUAUAGUUUGUCUGUCUUGCUUUUGGCUCUUUCUACGGGACAGAUUUUGAGGGUUUUGUUUAUUACGUCUCACCUUCUCUGGUUAGGAAUUGAAAAGGUUCUGAGAUUGGUCUUCAGUGUUCUCAAUUCCUGAAUACCCCCUUCUUUUUUUUUUUUUUUUUGAUUCGUUUCAAGAUAAAGAUUUGAGUAUUAUUUAGCUAAGAUCAGUCCCGUGUAUGUGCUGGGGAGUUUGUUUACAUGGAGAUGCUAUGAAGUGAUUUUGUUGAUUUCGUUUGUUUGCAAUUCCAUAUACAUCAGUAGCAGAACCGUAUAGGAGGCGGGGCAUAUUUUAAACAUGGGGGAAGAUUUACUCACUAGCUUAUCAAUUGAGAAUUAUCACCCGUCAACAUUCUUAUCAAUGGAUCCAAUUGCCAAUUCACAUGAGGAAUCAGACCGAGACAUGAACCGGCAGGUCGUCCCCUGCCGCCCACCUGACAUUAAUCUCCCACUGACAGUGGAUCGUAGUCCUCCACUUCAACCAUGGAGCCAUGAUGCGUUUGAUAUGUUAGACGUUGGUCUUGGGCAUCAAAUUAAUGAAUCUGAUACCUUGAUGUAUAUGUCCAAGAGUGAGCGGAAAUGUGCUAAGCGAUUAGAUAGCAUAUGGGGUGCUUGGUUUUUCUUUAGUUUCUACUUCAAGCCUGUUUUGAAGGAUAAAUCAAAAUGCAACACGGUCCGAGAUGGUAAUGGGGUCUCUGGGUUUGACAAGUCAAAUCUCCAACUUGAUGUCUUUCUGGUCCAGCAUGAUAUGGAGAACAUGUAUAUGUGGGUUUUUAAGGAGAGACCGGAUAAUGCAUUAGGUAAGAUGCAGUUGAGAAGUUACAUGAAUGGACAUUCUCGCCAGGGUGAGCGUCCAUUUCCAUUUAGUGUUGACAAGGGCUUUGUACGAUCUCACAGAAUGCAGCGUAAACAUUAUAGGGGCCUUUCAAAUCCUCAGUGUGUGCACGGGAUUGAGCUUGUUUCGUCCCCUAAUCUUCUGGGUCUUGAUGAGGAAGAGCAAAAGAAGUGGAUGGAACUAACGGGCAGGGAUCUGAAUUUCUCUAUCCCUCCUGAAGCAAGGGAUUAUAGCUCAUGGAGGAAUAUUCCAAUCACAGAUUUUGAGCUUGAGAGACCACUUCCUCCAUUGAGGAGCAAUCCACAACCCUCUUCAAAGAAGCUGCACAAUGGGUCUGGAUUGAAUUUGUCACCGUUAGACCAUGUAAAUGGCAAUGGAAUAGAGCUUUUACCUGCUUGCAACAAGAGGAGGAAGGAUGUCUUUUCACAUGGUCACGAUGAAGAUUGCUGUUUGCCUGUUAAUCCUCAAGAUACAGUUGUCCACCCGAUUGAGCCACCUUGGACAAAUGAGUUUAGUGGAGUAAUGAGGAAUAUAUAUGGUCCUGUUACAGCUGCCAAAACUAUCUACGAGGAUGAAGAAGGAUACUUAAUUAUCAUUUCCUUGCCUUUUGCUGAUCCUGAAAAGGUAAAGGUUCAUUGGUGGAACAAUCUCACUCAUGGCGUGGUGAAGAUAUCAUCAGUCAGCACAACAUGCAUGCCCUUUGUCCAGAGAAAUGACAGAACUUUCAAGCUCACUGAUCCAUCUCCUGAGCACUGUCCUCCUGGGGAAUUCAAAAGGGAAAUCCCCCUUGCCACUCGAAUUCCUGAUGAUGCGAAACUAGAAGCAUACUUUGACAAAAGCGGAACAAUACUAGAGAUUUUAGUGCCCAAACACCGAGCAGGGCCAGAAGAGCAUGAGGUUCCUGUUUGCCUUCGCUCUCCCAAUGAGUUUGUCUUGUCUUGAAUGUGGCAUUUGGUUGGAGAAAUGUAAGGGUAGCUGAUCAAUCUUUAGCACUUACUAUAUCCAAAAUAGUAAAAAUUCCUACAAUCAACAUGAUCCUCACUAAUUUUGAAACAUUCAUCACUACUAUUUAGAGAGUCCUUUUCUUUUCUUGUUUACUUGGAUAGUCUUUUGACUUCUGACUCAAUUAACUCAAUAACUGAUUAUUGUGGCUUUAUUUUGUUCUAUGUGAGUAGCUUUAGUCUGGGAUUGGUCCUCUGCAUAGGAAGUUGAACUGCAAAGAUCUGUGGUAAGGAUCUGGCUACUCCAUUGAUAAGCUUCUUUAUUUAAGAGGAAUUUGGAAUCAGUUUAAUACCAUAUUAUCCUGUGAUGUUCCAGGUUUUGGAAGCAAUUAUAUAUCACUUCUUGUGAUUGUAGUCUCGCAUUUGGUAUUUUGUGAUGAUGGUGGAAAAAUAGCAACGUGGUGUGCUUUUUAUCAUGAUGUACAGUGUUGAAUGCAACUUUUCUAUUUGGAUGAAUCAAAUAAACAAGAUGUUUACAGAAUUACAGUGUUGGGGCAAUCCUGUUCUGUAUAUUUAAGUGAGUUUUGUGUGUAAUUUUGAUGUAUGCAGUUAAGAAUUGGAUCAUUUGUUAUAUGUUGUGAAUUACUCUUGUAGUCCCAUUCAGUUCCAAGUCAACUUACUAUCUUUACUUAUUUCUUCUUUUUCUUCCCCAAACCCUUCUCUUCCUGUUACGGUAGCAAAUCAUAACAAUGUGAUAUUUGUUGGAUAAUGAAGAUUAUGCUCAAAAGAUGGCACUAGUACAGUAAUUGAAGAUUGGAGAAGAAUCAUAUAUGCUUCAAAAGUCUGCAUUCCAUAACCUUUGUUUGGGAGCAUGAUUACCGUCAAGUAAUUAGCCAUAUCAAGGAAAAAUGCCCCAUUCCCUGCCAGGUUUUUGAGGAAGAAGACCUUGGAGAAGGGGAAGGUGGAGUUUGUUCUAGAUUAAUGUUGGAGUAGGACUCAUGAAGCUUAUAGCUCUACAAGGGAAAAAGAAAAAAACUUUCUCGGAGUUUAUUUGCCAAUUUUUGUAGAAAAUUUCACUGGGUAAAAAUUUGGUAAUAUAGGUGAUUAAACAUUGUGGAUGCGGGAAUCAAGUUUUGGGUUUUCUCAGGGUUUAUAAAUGCUAGUUUUGGUGGAUAAUAAACGUUGGUAAUAUGUGUAUGUUCCUCUGUUUGCUUUCUUUUUGGUUAAUCUUUCCCUUGUUUCCUUGAAAACCCCAGUUAUUCUCAAAGUAGAACAGCAAAGUUUUUUGGUUGUUCUUUCUCAAACCCUGGUAAAUAUGAAUAAACACCAGCAAUUGUUUCAAUGUGCAAAACUACACCAUUUUCACAAAACCCUAUCCCAUUCCAUGCCUGAAUCCCCCACCCAUUUUUUCUUUCCCUCAUUCCCUGUGAGGUGUUUUGUGUUUGGUUCUCUCUCCUUCUCAUUUCCACAUGAAUCCCCCUCCCUUUUUCCCUCUUUGCUUUCGGAUGCUUCAUCACCGUGUCAUCAUGAGUCUGCUGCUGGAAGGAAUUCUCUGCUGCUAUCGCCGAUCAUCUUUUAUGGAGGGAUGGUUCCUUGCUGUUUUGCUUCUUCAGGCAAUGAUGAGGAUGCAAAAAACAUGCCUACUACGUCAUCUUCAUCAUAUGACCCAUCUUUCAUACCCACUCCUUGGAAUGACGCAAUGAUGCGUUUACAAAUGACUAAGACAUUCUAGAUCAGUGGUGGUAUUUUUUGACCUUUUCGGAAUUACAAAAGCGGACUAGUUUUCCUGUCAUAGCCUUUGGCGGGGCCUUCAUGAUCAAGCGUCAAAAAUUGCCGGGAAAACUAUUUCGAAGGUUUUUUUUUAUGUCGAACUUCCCCAGCAUUUUGUAAACGGACAGGGAAGGCCUUAUUCUGUAUCAACCCCCUAUGAGAGGUCUUUGGUUCUUUACUUCACAUGUUUGUUUCGUGGUUCAAAUAUGGAUGAAGAAAAUGACCACUUCCAACCAGCUUGAAAGAAUUGAGUCACGAUUCACGAACGCAUGGCCGCAACCAACAUCGCAUAUUGUUCAAGUUAAUUGGAUCUUUUUUCCAUGCAAACUGUUUAAUCUAAUUUAGUUCUAGUGACGGUCUAGAGUUAUGGUGGCUCGAAGCCCCAUAUCUUACUCUACUACUUUAGUAAUGAGAUAAGAGAAGCAACAUAAUUUUUAAAAAACAAAAAAAAAUACUGUCCAUUGAUGGUAAGCCAAAAAAAUAGGGAAAAAAAAAAAAAAAAGAACAGGGAGAACAC